CGGGAAUAUUGCGCAAUGGAGGAAACUCUGACGCAGUGACGCCGCGUAUAGGAAGAAGGUUUUCGGAUUGUAAACUAUUGUCGUUAGGGAAGAGAAAGGACAGUACCUAAGGAGGAGGCUCCGGCUAACUAC
rnacentral:rRNA from 1 species